CUUUUCUUUAUAUACAUUUUUUUUCUACUGUAUAGCAUGGGGGAAACCUUUUAAAGAUAAUAUAAAGGCAUAAUCAUCAUACCUUUGCCACUGCUUACCAGUAUUUGCUACUGCAUUCAGCAUUUAUCCCUUCCCCGGUAUCUAAAGGAAUAGUGUAUGUUAAGAGAGGAGGCCUUCAUUGCAUACAGGGCAAGAGUAACAAUUACAUUUUAGAAAUUAAGAAGAAUUUUGGAAAUGGCACCACAUGGAGACCGUUUCUGACAACAUCUAUGCCUCAACCAUUAUACAUUCAAACAGUUUUGAAAACCAAGACUUCAGAGAACUUCAUGUCAUGAGGAGAACUACGAAAGAUCUGCGUUGCAGCCGCAGUCUCUCCCUUUCUGGGGGAGAGUAAAUGGCAAAGCAAGAAUUUUUUUGGCUCUUCAUCCAGGUGAAAACUGGGAUCCAAUUUCUUCAUCCCGUGUGUACAUAUAAUAUGAAAUAUGAUAAUUUAAAAAUUAGAGCAGUAAAGAACCCUUGCCAAAUGGCAGUAAUUGCCUUUUAAAAAAUUGAUUUUUGCAUUCAGUAAAAUGUCUGUCUUCUAUCUAAUAAGUUUCUUUGAGAUAUUCUAGCAAUGUGCUAGAAUUCUAGGUUUUUGUCCUGUUAUUACCAAACUGUGUGAUGUUUAGCAAGUAAUUGAACUUCUCUAGGCCUUAGUUCCUAAUCUAUAAAUCAAGGGUGUUUAAUUAAAGGUUUAGAUGACCAUUUCCAGCUCUUUCAUUCCAGAAUCUAUGAGCCACAUUAUCCAUUAAAACCUCAAACUUGGCAGUGAAUCAGAAUCAGCUAGGGAGCUUUAAAAAUUACAGAUAUCUGGGUCCCAUCCUGCAGAGGUUCCAGUUUAGUAGGUCUGAGUGAAGCUUUUAAAAGCUUUUAAAAAGUAGAUAUACAAUCAGGGGUGAGAUUGUGAUGAAUAGUUAACUCCUUGCCAGGUCCUACUGUGUUCCUAGGUAGAGCAGCCUGAUCUUAUCAAUAGAAACAUGAUGCAAUAUCUUAUGAAACCUUUCCAUUUUGGCUUCUGUAUCAUGGAUGCCAUUUCCCCUAGGCCAGGCCUUUGAAAGUCCCAUGAUUUUAUGCUGCUACAUGACAAACAUAUAAGCAUCCAAUAUAUGAACUCACCAGUCAUAUAUAUGGUAGAAGGGUGUAUAUACUAACAGACUCGUGGAUAAUGACUGUGACCUGUGGACCAUGUCCUGUUUUAUCUAGAUCAUGAAAUUGUCUUAAAGGUGGAUAGUGAAGCUUGAUGGGAAGGAAUAAUUAGUGGGUAGAGAAGUUAUCAGGCAGUUUUACAUCUAAUCCUUAUAAUGAGAUAGGCAUCAUUAUUCCAUUCUACAGAGAAGGAAAAUUCUCUAUAGAGAAUGAAGUUUUACCUCUAUUACUCAAGGCUACACAGGUAAUAGGUGGUAGAAAUGGAACAGGUACGUCUAACUCCAGAACCUAUUAUCUGCCUAUAAGGCCAUGUUGCUGCAAAGAAGGGAAGAAGAGCCAUUCUGCAUAAGCAUGGCUUUUCAGGGGCUCCUAUGGUCAUUCCUACACAGGUAUAUCUAGUUGGAGGGCUGUCUAUGGUAUUCUCAGGUUCCACUCCAUAAUUCAAGAGCCCUUUAAUUUGGAAUUUUAGGAGAAUAAUAAAAAGGAGUACUUCAGAGUGGUCAAACCCAUAUGGAAGAACCAUGAUAAGGACAUAAUACGACCAGCUUUCUUAAACCCAUGAUUUGUAGCACAAAUUGUUACUAUUUUUAUUGAAAGUAAUUUGGCAGUAUAUAUCAGGAAUCCUAAUUAUGUUCACAUCUUUUGAUGUAGAAUAUUAGUUUCUAGGACUCUGUUUUUAGGGAUUAAUUAUUGGUAUCAACUAACAUUGAAUAAAAGUAAUGUUCUUUAGAAUAUUAUGUAUAAUAGGAAAAAAA
ensembl:lncRNA